CGGUCCUCCCUCCCUCCCUCCCCGGAGAAUACCAAAACGAAUCCCUUUUCCUACUCUCUUAGAAUCUCUUCUCUUCUUCAUCUCUUCCUCCCCUUAAGUUUGUAAUAAUGACGACGGACUCGAUGUCUAUAAAGAACAACUAUCUGCCCCCCGCCCUCCUCGCGGCCCCCGGAGGCGGCGGCGUGGACGGGGAAGGAGGCGAGGGCGAUGCCAAAUCCGGAGAGGAGGAGGCUGGGGCCGCUCUCUCCUCCGCCGCCGCCGCCGCCGCCGCCGCCGCCGACGAGUCAGGGGACGGAUCCAAGAAGCCUGUCAUCCUCGUGACCAACGGUGACGGGAUUGGCUCGCCGGGGCUCACCGCCCUUGUCGAGGCCCUUGUCCGUGGCGGCCAGUGCGACGUCCACGUUUGCGCCCCCGAAUCGGACAAGUCGGCCUCGGGUCAUGCAGUCACCGUUCGUGAGACCGUCGCCGUGACUUCUGCAGAGUUCAAUGGUGCCACGGCUUUUGAGGUUUCUGGGACUCCUGCUGAUUGUGUCUCUCUGGCUUUGUCAGGCGUGUUGUUUUCUUGGUCCAGGCCAGCAUUGGUCAUCAGUGGUAUUAACAAGGGAUCAAAUUGUGGCUGUCAUAUCUUCUACUCUGGUUCUGUUGCUGGAGCUAGAGAGGCUUUACUAUGUGGACUACCUUCAUUUGCAAUCUCAUUGAAUUGGAGGAAGGAUGAAAGCCAAGAAAGUGAUUUCAAGGAUGCAGCCGAAGUUUGCUUACCACUCAUAUAUGCGGCCAUUAGGGAUAUUGACAAGGGGCUUUUCCCAAAAAGUUGCUUGCUGAGCAUAGAAAUUCCUACCUCCCCUUCUACAAAUAAGGGCUUCAAGCUGACCAGGCAGAGUCUGUGGAGGUCUUCACUGAGCUGGCAAGCUGUGUCAGCAAACAGGCAUCCUUCUGCUGGGCAGUUCAUGUCUAUGCAUCAAAGCCUUGGAGUUCAGCUCGCACAGCUUGGCCGAGAUGCCUCUGCAGCAGGAGCAGCUCGUCGUAUUAAUGCUCAAAGGAAGAUUGUGGAAAUAGACUCAGUUGGAGCAGCUGGAAAACCAGAGACUCAACGGGAAGUGGUGAAGAAAUACUUUCGUCUACAGUUUCUUGAGAAGCAGCAAGAAGAAUUAGAUGAAGAGCUUGAUUUUAGGGCUCUGGAAAAUGGCUUUAUUGCUGUAACUUCUUUACAUUUGAACUUGCAUGAGGGCUCUGAGAUCCAAGCCUCUGCUUCAGAGUGGUUUGCCUCGGUUCUAACAGGUGGAGAGUCUCCCUGAGGCUGACACGGCACAUUUGUUUGACCUUUAUACUGUUGUAGGUGGCUGCUUUGUUUUCAGCUUCAGGUUGAAGUAAUGAUCAGGUCGAAGUCAGUAGAGCUGCGGACAGAUUAUGGUUUUGCUUCCAGUUGAGAGCUGCUUGCUGCUGAGGGUCACAGUAGUUAAGUACUAGAAAUUUUACAAGCCUGGGAGUGGGAAGCACUCAGUAUGACAAAUAUGCUUCUCGAAAUGAAGUUAUAAUUUACAGAGAUACAGCCUUCGUGUGUGUUAUUUAUUUAUUUAUGUAGUCAGCCUGCCUCAAGUGCAUUAAAGAUGGGUACCGAAAGUUCUAGUUUGUGGCCUCGUCGAACGGAAAACAGGUGUUAGAUGCAUGCAAUCCGGUUAUCAAACAAAUUGGAUUCCAUCAAACAGUGCCUCUUUUCAACAUAGAGCAUCAUGUCAGAAGAUAUUCGGUAGCGUAAUGAUGCAAGGCUUACACAACUUGAUGAAUUUCAGCACAAAUUUUUGGAGCAAAGCAACUCACGUAAGAAUUAGUGCCCAGCCUUUCUCCAAUAUGGAGGAUCAGGGCUGCAUCGAGCUAGGAUUUCGUUAUUCAGUUCCUCAUAAAAAGGGUGUUUGGUUAUCGUGGUCUUUCUAUCCCACUUUUCUUAGCUUUCUUCCCUUUUCUUUUGCAAAUCAAAAGCUUCCUGAGUGUUACUCGGAAAAGAUGAGGUUUCUCUUUCUAAGAGACGUCAGAUGCUUCCUUUGUAUCCGCACUAUAGAUUUUUCUCUCAAAAAAAUGUAUCUGCAUGUAUUCCAACCACAAGAUGUCAGGAUGUAUGAUUCAUUCUCCUGGGAUUCACACUUGCAUGAAAGAUAGAGAAAAGAACGAUAAACCUCAACUUCACACUUGCAUGAAAGAUAGGGAAAAGAACGAUGAACCUCAACUUCUAGCAAUUCCUUGGGAUGCCGCUGUUAAGUUUCAGAUUAGAAUGGGCUACUCGUUAAGCCAGUUAUAAGUAGAGCUGUCAAUGGGUCGGCUUCAGAUUUGAGAUUCGUGGGUAUUUACUCGGUGGAUCCAAAUCUGGUAUUAGUAUUGAACCCAUUUAUC